UACGGGGGGGGCAAGCGUUGUUCGGAAUUACUGGGCGUAAAGGGCUCGUAGGUGGCCAACUAAGUCGGACGUGAAAUCCCUCAGCUUAACUGGGGAACUGCGUCUGAUACUGGAUGGCUUGAGUUUGGGAGAGGGAUGCGGAAUUCCAGGUGUAGCGGUGAAAUGCGUAGAUAUCUGAAGGAACACCGGUGGCGAAGGCGGCAUCCUGGACCAAUACUGACACUGAGGAGCGAAAGCCAGGGGAGCAAACGGG
rnacentral:rRNA from 1 species